rnacentral:rRNA from 2 species
GACGAACGCUGGCGGCGUGCUAAUACAUGCAAGUCGAACGCACUCUCGUUUAGAUUGAAGGAGCUUGCUCCUGAUUGAUAAACAUUUGAGUGAGUGGCGGACGGGUGAGUAACACGUGGGUAACCUGCCCUAAAGUGGGGGAUAACAUUUGGAAACAGAUGCUAAUACCGCAUAAAACCUAACACCGCAUGGUGUAGGGUUGAAAGAUGGUUUCGGCUAUCACUUUAGGAUGGACCCGCGGUGCAUUAGUUAGUUGGUGAGGUAAAGGCUCACCAAGACCGUGAUGCAUAGCCGACCUGAGAGGGUAAUCGGCCACACUGGGACUGAGACACGGCCCAGACUCCUACGGGAGGCAGCAGUAGGGAAUCUUCCACAAUGGACGAAAGUCUGAUGGAGCAACGCCGCGUGAGUGAAGAAGGUUUUCGGAUCGUAAAACUCUGUUGUUGGAGAAGAAUGUAUCUGAUAGUAACUGAUCAGGUAGUGACGGUAUCCAACCAGAAAGCCACGGCUAACUACGUGCCAGCAGCCGCGGUAAUACGUAGGUGGCAAGCGUUGUCCGGAUUUAUUGGGCGUAAAGCGAGCGCAGGCGGUUUCUUAAGUCUGAUGUGAAAGCCUUCGGCUCAACCGAAGAAGUGCAUCGGAAACUGGGAAACUUGAGUGCAGAAGAGGACAGUGGAACUCCAUGUGUAGCGGUGAAAUGCGUAGAUAUAUGGAAGAACACCAGUGGCGAAGGCGGCUGUCUGGUCUGUAACUGACGCUGAGGCUCGAAAGCAUGGGUAGCAAACAGGAU